rnacentral:rRNA from 1 species
UCCUGGCUCAGGACGAACGCUGGCGGCACGCUUAACACAUGCAAGUCGAACGGAGAAGCAGUAGCUUGCUAUUGCGACUUAGUGGCGGACGGGUGAGUAACACGUGAGCAAUCUGCCUUUCAGAGGGGGAUAGCAGUUGGAAACGACUGAUAAUACCGCAUAACAUAUCGAAGCCGCAUGACUUUGAUAUCAAAGAUUUAUCGCUGAAAGAUGAGCUCGCGUCUGAUUAGGUAGUUGGUGAGGUAACGGCUCACCAAGCCGACGAUCAGUAGCCGGACUGAGAGGUUGAACGGCCACAUUGGGACUGAGACACGGCCCAGACUCCUACGGGAGGCAGCAGUGGGGAAUAUUGCACAAUGGGCGAAAGCCUGAUGCAGCGAUGCCGCGUGAGGGAAGAAGGUUUUAGGAUUGUAAACCUCUGUCCUAUGGGAAGAUAAUGACGGUACCAUAGGAGGAAGCUCCGGCUAACUACGUGCC